ACAAAUUAAAACGCAGUUGCCUAUAUAAUGCCGCAAUACGGGCGGUAAGUUUCUACCCAAAGCCGUAAACUUUGGACUAUAAGCAGAUUGAGGAUGACU
rfam:Lactobacillus vaccinostercus DSM 20634 NODE_130, whole genome shotgun sequence.